GACGAACGCUGGCGGCGUGCUCAACACAUGCAAGUCGAACGGAUAGGCCCUGCUUUUGUGGGGUGCUCGAGUGGCGAACGGGUGAGUAACACGUGAGUAACCUGCCCUUGACUUUGGGAUAACUUCAGGCAACUGGGGCUAAUAACGGAUAGGAGCUCCUGCUGCAUGGUGGGGGUUGGAAAGUUUCGGCGGUUGGGGAUGGACUCGCGGCUUAUCAGCUUGUUGGUGGGGUAGUGGCUUACCAAGGCUUUGACGGGUAGCCGGCCUGAGAGGGUGACCGGCCACAUUGGGACUGAGAUACGGCCCAGACUCCUACGGGAGGCAGCAGUGGGGAAUAUUGCACAAUGGGCGGAAGCCUGAUGCAGCAACGCCGCGUGCGGGAUGACGGCCUUCGGGUUGUAAACCGCUUUCGCCUGUGACGAAGCGUGAGUGACGGUAAUGGGUAAAGAAGCACCGGCUAACUACGUG
rnacentral:rRNA from 1 species